ACGCUAGCUACAGGCUUAACACAUGCAAGUCCGAGGGGAAACGGCAUUGAGUGCUUGCACCCUUUGGACGUCGACCGGCGCACGGGUGAGUAACGCGUAUCCAACCUUCCCAUUACUGUGGGAUAACCUGCCGAAAGGCAGACUAAUACCGCAUAGUCUUCGAUGACGGCAUCAGAUUUGAAGUAAAGAUUUAUCGGUAAUGGAUGGGGAUGCGUCUGAUUAGCUUGUUGGCGGGGUAACGGCCCACCAAGGCAACGAUCAGUAGGGGUUCUGAGAGGAAGGUCCCCCACAUUGGAACUGAGACACGGUCCAAACUCCUACGGGAGGCAGCAGUGAGGAAUAUUGGUCAAUGGACGGAAGUCUGAACCAGCCAAGUAGCGUGCAGGAUGACGGCCCUAUGGGUUGUAAACUGCUUUUGUAUGGGGAUAAAGUUAGGGACGUGUCCCUAUUUGCAGGUACCAUACGAAUAAGGACCGGCUAAUUCCGUGCCAGCAGCCGCGGUAAUACGGAAGGUCCAGGCGUUAUCCGGAUUUAUUGGGUUUAAAGGGAGCGUAGGCUGGAGAUUAAGUGUGUUGUGAAAUGUAGACGCUCAACGUCUGAAUUGCAGCGCAUACUGGUUUCCUUGAGUACGCACAACGUUGGCGGAAUUCGUCGUGUAGCGGUGAAAUGCCUAGAUAUGACGAAGAACUCCGAUUGCGAAGGCAGCUGACGGGAGCGCAACUGACGCUUAAGCUCGAAGGUGCGGGUAUCAAACAGGAUUAGAUACCCUGGUAGUCCGCACAGUAAACGAUGGAUGCCCGCUGUUGGUACCUGGUAUCAGCGGCUAAGCGAAAGCAUUAAGCAUCCCACCUGGGGAGUACGCCGGCAACGGUGAAACUCAAAGGAAUUGACGGGGGCCCGCACAAGCGGAGGAACAUGUGGUUUAA
rnacentral:rRNA from 1 species